GACAGAGGGUGCAAGCGUUAUCCGGAAUGAUUGGGCGUAAAGCGUCUGUAGGUGGCUUUUUAAGUUCGCCGUCAAAUCCCAGGGCUCAACCCUGGACAGGUGGUGGAAACUACCAAGCUAGAGUACGGUAGGGGCAGAGGGAAUUUCCGGUGGAGCGAUGAAAUGCGUAGAGAUCGGAAGGAACACCCAAGGCGAAAGCACUCUGCUGGGCCGACACUGACACUGAGAGACGAAAGCUAGGGGAGCAAAUGGG
rnacentral:rRNA from 1 species